rnacentral:rRNA from 1 species
CUACGGGUGGCAGCAGUAGGGAAUCUUAGACAAUGGGGGAAACCCUGAUCUAGCCAUGCCGCGUGAGUGAUGAAGGCCUUAGGGUUGUAAAGCUCUUUCGCUGGGGAAGAUAAUGACGGUACCCAGUAAAGAAACCCCGGCUAACUCCGUGCCAGCAGCCGCGGUAAUACGGAGGGGGUUAGCGUUGUUCGGAAUUACUGGGCGUAAAGCGCGCGUAGGCGGGCUAUUAAGUCAGGGGUGAAAUCCCGGGGCUCAACCCCGGAACUGCCUUUGAUACUGGUAGUCUUGAGUUCGAGAGAGGUGAGUGGAAUUCCGAGUGUAGAGGUGAAAUUCGUAGAUAUUCGGAGGAACAUCAGUGGCGAAGGCGACUCACUGGCUCGAUACUGACGCUGAGGUGCGAAAGUGUGGGGAGCAAACAGGAUUAGAUACCCUGGUAGUC